rnacentral:tRNA from 1 species
GGUCGCUUAGCUCAGCGGUAGAGCGCUUCGUUUACAUCGAAGAUGUCGGGGGUUCAAAUCCCUCAGCGACCA